GACAGAGGGGGCAAGCGUUGCUCGGAAUCACUGGGCGUAAAGGGCGCGUAGGCGGGAUGGCAAGUCGGUCGUGAAAUCCUUCGGCCCAACCGAAGAACGUCGGCCGAUACUGCCGUUCUUGAGGGAUGCAGAGGAGACUGGAAUUCCCGGUGUAGCGGUGAAAUGUGUAGAGAUCGGGAGGAACACCGGUGGCGAAGGCGGGUCUCUGGGCAUUUCCUGACGCUGAAGCGCGAAAGCGUGGGGAGCAAACGGG
rnacentral:rRNA from 1 species